rnacentral:rRNA from 1 species
GUCCACGCCGUAAACGAUGUCAACUAGCUGUUGGUUAUAUAAAAUAAUUAGUGGCGCAGCAAACGCGAUAAGUUGACCGCCUGGGGAGUACGGUCGCAAGAUUAAAACUCAAAGGAAUUGACGGGGGCCCGCACAAGCGGUGGAGCAUGUGGUUUAAUUCGAUGCAACGCGAAGAACCUUACCUACCCUUGACAUACAGUGGAGCUUGCAGAGAUGUGAGUGUGCCUUCGGGAACACUGAUACAGGUGCUGCAUGGCUGUCGU